GACGUAGGGCGCGAGCGUUGUCCGGAUUUAUUGGGCGUAAAGAGCUCGUAGGCGGCUUGUCGCGUCGACUGUGAAAACCCGUGGCUCAACCAUGUGGUCUGCAGUCGAUACGGGCAGGCUAGAAUUCGGUAGGGGAGAUUGGAAUUCCUGGUGUAGCGGUGAAAUGCGCAGAUAUCAGGAGGAACACCGGUGGCGAAGGCGGGUCUCUGGGCCGAUAUUGACGCUGAGGAGCGAAAGCGUGGGGAGCAAACAGG
rnacentral:rRNA from 1 species